UCUCAGUUCUUUAACGCUUAGAUUUUCUAUUGUUUCCAAUUUAGAAUGUGUUGUCUCCUGCUCUAAAAUGGUUUUUAGAAAUAGCUUUGAAUACCUUCAGUACCAUCUAAAAAGUACAAAGCAGAAAGCAUAAGGAGUUCUUAGAAAAAGAGAAAUUAAUAAGUUUUAAAAACCCCCUUUUCCAGACCCUUUCUUCUACUUUUUAGCCGUUAAUCCUUCUUUCUUUGUCCACUUGUCUGGUUCUGUUUUUCCGACAUUUUGGUACAGGCAUGUAAUACAUAGU
rnacentral:lncRNA from 1 species